UAGCCACAUCCUACUGCUACUAACUGGUAAGUACUAAUCCUGAUUCCUUCUCCAUGAAGUGCUCCAAAUUUCACAACAAGUGCCUGCUAUAUGUGAACGUGGGUGUGCAUAUGUUGUUCAUUUUAUCUCAGGCCCUACUAUUCCCCACUCAGCCAUAUUGCCUUCUUUCUCUUUGUUUAUCUCAAGGCCACGAAAUAAAUCAAGAUUUAAUCUAUGGUGUGGUCAUGGUAUUGCUACUGAUUAGAUCUAAAUGCUAUUCCUAACUAGUGCUACUCAUCCUUGAACACCAUAUAGAAGUAAACAGUGGCAGUGAAACCCAAAAAUAAUUACUUGUGAGUAGAUUAUAAACAUCAAUCACUCAAUGUUUGCUACAGAUUGGCAGGGAUUAAUAAUUAGGACAAGGCAGUAUACACAGGAAGGUUGAUCUUUUGGAUACACACAUACAUGUCUUAGCAAGUUGCUAGUACUUAGGAUUUGAUUCUUGGCAUGUUGGAUCUAGUACAAGCCACGGAUGUCAUUCACAGAAACUUUUACAAGCUUUUGCAAUUGAUUUAAUUAGUUUUGACUAACUUGGGUGUUUACGUAAACAUUUUGUUCUUUUUACAGCAAGGUAAAUAGAUCAAGGUGAAUAGAUGCUCAUGGACUGAUUCAAACCGAGGUGGAGAUAGAUAAGAAAUCAAGCAAGAAGGGCUAACACAACAAGGUACUUGAUUAGUACCUGGUGGCGCAUGCAACCCAAAGAGCUUCACAGCAGUGGAGGACAGCAGUGUGGCAGAAGGUGAAAAGGCAAGGUGAAAAAGGCAGAGGGGUUUCUCCAGCGGAUGACUGUGUGUGGCCACGGUGAAAGGGAUGGCUUCUAU
rnacentral:lncRNA from 1 species